ACCAGUCUUGAAUCCAUGUAAUCUUGUCCAAGGCUUAGGUGUAGUUGGUUUCACAACAUUAAAAAUUUUAAAUUGGGCUUUAUCUCUGUUGAUAUUAUUAAUCUCUAUUAUUUUUAAAAUAAAUGUAUGUAUAAAAUUAAAAUUAUUCUGUUAUUGUUCGGUCUUCUGUCGUCUCUCAUUAAUUACUAAGCUACUCCCGGUUUUCCCGAUACUCCAUCGUUCAAUUCAAUGAAGCGGUCACGAUCCAGGCCAGCUCGGUACCCCAAUUCAAGUGGCGAUUCAGACGCAUAAUUGAAGUGUUAAACGUCUCCGACGUGAUAUUCCUUACGCUAUAAGGUGAGCAAUCCCCGAUAUAUCGGUAACGAGAUUCGCCAUUACCGGUAAUCAGUACAUCUUAAACCAUCCAAAAAUCAACCAUAUUUAAACUUACACUCCUACGUUCCGUACUUAAUCAUCCGACCAGAC